GUCAUUUUUAGGAGUUUCUAUCUUGCUCUUUGUUGUAGAGAUGGCUGUUUUUUCGCUUAUUUUCCCAUGUUUCUAUCUCUGUUUCAGCUCUUGAGAUAGUCAGUAACUAAAAACAUGCCUUGCAAACCACUCUUAAAGCAAAAGAUGCCCCCAGAAUAUUUUGAACCUAUGAUACUGCAACAAUGAAUGCGGUCAUGUUUGGGAGCUCCUCGGCUACUGCGGUGUUGCAAGCUAUAUGAGUUUCAAGCAUGUAAAUCGGAGGGGAGCAGAAGAACCACUUUGUUCCCCAGCCCUGCCCCCGGGUAUAUAAAUAGCCGCCUGGGUGGCUGCUGGAGUGCCUCUCAUUCCAGAGAUCUUUGGCCACCCUCUUAUCAAAACAGAAAGACUGACUUCACUCCCGUUCUCUGCCGACUGAUUUCAUGCUGGAAACAGGUAAGGAGGCCGUGGCCAUCGUCCUUGAAUUGGCCACCUACAUCCAGAGGUCAAGCAAAGAGAAACGCGCUGCCAACAUUCCUCCUUCACAAAAUAAGCCGGUGCUUGAGCAGUCCCGGCUGA
rnacentral:lncRNA from 1 species